rnacentral:rRNA from 1 species
UACAGAGGUCUCAAGCGUUGUUCGGAUUUAUUGGGCGUAAAGGGCGCGUAGGCGGCGGGGUAAGUCGGGUGUGAAAUCUCAGGGCUCAACCCUGAAACUGCACUUGAUACUGCUCUGCUUGAGGACUGGAGAGGAGACUGGAAUUCACGGUGUAGCAGUGAAAAUGCGUAGAGAUCGUGAGGAAGACCAGUGGCGAAGGCGGGUCUCUGGACAGUUCCUGACGGCUG